GCUCAACCGAGGAAGUGCUUCGAAAACUGGUAAACUUGAGUGCAGAAGAGGAAAGUGGAACUCCAUGUGUAGCGGUGGAAUGCGUAGAUAUAUGGAAGAACACCAGUGGCGAAGGGGGCUUUCUGGUCUGUAACUGACGCUGAGAUUCGAAAGCAUGGGUAGCAAACAGGAUUAGAUACCCUGGUAGUCCAUGCCGUAAACGAUGAGUGCUAAGUGUUGGAGGGUUUCCGCCCUUCAGUGCUGCAGCUAACGCAUUAAGCACUCCGCCUGGGGAGUACGACCGCAAGGUUGAAACUCAAAGGAAUUGACGGGGGCCCGCACAAGCGGUGGAGCAUGUGGUUUAAUUCGAAGCAACGCGAAGAACCUUACCAGGUCUUGACAUACCAUGGGGAAGCUUAGAGAUAAGUCUUUCCCUUCGGGGACAUGGAUACAGGUGGUGCAUGGUUGUCGUCAGCUCGUGUCGUGAGAUGUUGGGUUAAGUCCCGCAACGAGCGCAACCCUUAUUAUCAGUUGCCAGCAUUCAGUUGGGCACUCUGGUGAGACUGCCGGUGACAAACCGGAGGAAGGUGGGGACGACGUCAAAUCAUCAUGCCCCUUAUGACCUGGGCUACACACGUGCUACAAUGGUCGGUACAACG
rnacentral:rRNA from 1 species